rnacentral:tRNA from 1 species
UAGGCAGAUGCUCGUUGGUUUGAGCGUUUAACUGUUAAUUAAAAGUUUGUAGGAUCGAAGCCUUCCUGUCUAG